AUGGACUUGGUGGGUCUUUGAAUUUAAAUAAAAUAAACAUGUAUAUGCAACACAAAAUAUUUAUAUUCCUUGUGUAAACAUAAUUUAAUUGAUUAGGAUGAAAAUGUUUUGUUUGAAUGUAAAAUGAACACAUUAUUCUCACAUUGAUUAAAAUUUAUUGAAUUGAAUACUUAAAGCAAUAAAAUUGAGUUUGCACACAAAAUGGCACCUCCUGAGCAGAAGGUGGCAGUAACGCUCAAUAAAAAGGACGUCAAUCGCCAUAAAAGAAGAAUAAACAUCGUUUGUUUUGGGCGCCAAAAUGAAGACUCAGCAGCAGUCAGUCAGAAGAACUCCCUCAGACGGACACCACGUUAUUAAAGUCCAUCAUCCUUGCAUGCGCUACACUCAAAAGCAUUGAUAAAUGCUGAAUUUAAAAGAAUCACUACUGUCUUAUGUUCCUGCGUGUCACCUGGACCUCCAAUCCAAAAACCUGACGAAACUCUUCUAUCAGAAAGGAGGACAGCUAGCAAACAGACUUCAAACAAUGAAUGAUCAAAUGACAGAAGGCAUGAAUGAAGUCAGCAUCAGUGUGGUCAUUUGAAGACACCAAUGUUGGGAUUUGUGCUCUCAAACAACAUGCUUCUUGUGAUGAAGAAGAGGAUCUUUGUAUAGUCCUGGAAGGCAUGAAGGUGUUGCAACAUCGUGCCAUGUUGUUUGAGCUGAUGUAUGCCUUAAACCUGAGCUAUCCUGAUCUCUGCUUUAUUUUUGAGGAACUGCUAGAUUUUAAUGGAACUGCAUUGAGCGUAACUUUAACGAACAGUUUCUUUCAGUGAAAGGAUCAGAAAGACUGUGCUGCUCAUUUUUGUUAUCUGUUUUAAGUGUUUUUUCUUAUUAAAACAUUAACCGUUUGCUGCUCAGAGUUGAUUUUGGAAAUGGUUGUUGUAUUUUGUUUUUGUUGAAUCUUUGAUUAUCAGUUUAUACAAAUGCUGUAGCUCUGACUUUCUGAAGGAUUGAUAUUUUCCAGUUUGUAAAUCCAUUUAAAAAAUAAUAGUACUUACUGUUUUGCAUGUCUCUUUGGAAUGCAGUGUUUGUGCUUUAGCACUUCUAAAUCUACUGUGAUAGUAACUAUUUUAAACAUUUGGGUCAGUUUUACAGAUGGGGCUUUUUCUAGUCCCAGACUUUUGCAAUGCCUUAAUUUGAAAACAUAUUGCACUGACAUAUCUUGACAUAUAUCAGUGCCAUUGUUUUGUCUCAAGAUGUACUCCAGUGUUGUUUUUGUAAGGUAGGUUUGUUUGUAAACUUUUUUUGUAAAAAAUAUCCUAAUAUAACUAGGGCCUAGUCAUGGAUUAAUCUACAACCUGUUUGGGAAAUUGCCCCUUUGUAUGUACUGCAUGUGCUGAUUGUUGUAAUAGUUAUUGACUGUUGUUGAAUUAAUGUGUAGUUAUUUAAAUGAAUUGAUGAUCUGAAAGCAGUGGUUUGCCUCAAUAUCACUAAACUUUUGUUUAAAACUCUUUGCUUUUUAUGCCAAUGCAAAUGUAUUUUGUAUUUAAAAAAGAAAUAAAUAACAUUUGGAUAAUUAUGGAUGAUUAUUCUGGUUCCAGAAACAUAAUGAAAUUGCUUUAGAGUUACAUAAUCCCAUAAUAUAAGCAUUAAAAAAGCAUGUUGGAAUUACAGAUGAAAAUCUAGUCCCCUUACAUAAUAAAAUUACUUAAACAUUACAAAAUAAAUGUGUUAUAGUAAAGAGAAAUAGCACUUUGAG